rnacentral:rRNA from 1 species
GAGGAAUAUUGGUCAAUGGGCGCAAGCCUGAACCAGCCAUCCCGCGUGAAGGAAGAAGGCGCUAUGCGUUGUAAACUUCUUUUCCAGGGGAAGAAAACCAGAUACGUGUAUCGGCUUGCCGGUACCCUGGGAAUAAGCAUCGGCUAACUCCGUGCCAGCAGCCGCGGUAAUACGGAGGAUGCGAGCGUUAUCCGGAUUUAUUGGGUUUAAAGGGUGCGUAGGCGGACAAAUAAGUCAGUGGUGAAAACCUGCAGCUUAACUGUAGAAUUGCCAUUGAUACUGUUAGUCUUGAGUAUGGUCAAGGUAGGCGGAAUGUGUAAUGUAGCGGUGAAAUGCUUAGAUAUUACACAGAACACCGAUUGCGAAGGCAGCUUACUGGACCAUUACUGACGCUGAUGCACGAAAGCGUGGGGAUCGAAC